rnacentral:rRNA from 1 species
GAUGAACGCUGGCGGCGUGCCUAAUACAUGCAAGUCGAGCGAACGGACGAGAAGCUUGCUUCUCUGAUGUUAGCGGCGGACGGGUGAGUAACACGUGGAUAACCUACCUAUAAGACUGGGAUAACUUCGGGAAACCGUAGCUAAUACCGGAUAAUAUUUUGAACCGCAUGGUUCAAAAGUGAAAGACGGUCUUGCUGUCACUUAUAGAUGGAUCCGCGCUGCAUUAGCUAGUUGGUAAGGUAACGGCUUACCAAGGCAACGAUGCAUAGCCGACCUGAGAGGGUGAUCGGCCACACUGGAACUGAGACACGGUCCAGACUCCUACGGGAGGCAGCAGUGGGGAAUCUUCCGCAAUGGGCGAAAGCCUGACGGAGCAACGCCGCGUGAGUGAUGAAGGUCUUCGGAUCGUAAAACUCUGUUAUUAGGGAAGAACAUAUGUGUAAGUAACUGUGCACAUCCUGACGGUACCUAAUCAGAAAGCCACGGCUAACUACGUG